UACGUAGGGUGCAAGCGUUGUCCGGAAUUAUUGGGCGUAAAGAGCUCGUAGGCGGCUUGUCACGUCGGGUGUGAAAACUCGAGGCUCAACCUCGGGCUUGCAGUGGGUACGGGCAGACUAGAGUGCGGUAGGGGUGACUGGAAUUCCUGGUGUAGCGGUGAAAUGCGCAGAUAUCAGGAGGAACACCGGUGGCGAAGGCGGGUCUCUGGGCCGAUACUGACGCUGAGGAGCGAAAGCGUGGGGAGCGAACAGG
rnacentral:rRNA from 1 species